rnacentral:tRNA from 1 species
GGGGUUGUAGCUCAAUGGUAGAGUGUUUGCCUCACACAUGUAAGGAAGGCAUUGGGUUCUAUCCUCAGAACCUCA